ACUGGAUUUAUUGUUACAUCAUUAAACAAAUUGAUAUUUGGUGUUAUUAAUUGUAUGAGAAUAAGAAUGAUAGUUGCUAAUUCAUUCAUAGAUGAAGAACCAUGACGAACGUUGGUCAAUACUACAACACAACUGUAGAAAAAUAUAGGUAACCGGCAAAUAAACAGAUGGAAGGUGAAAGAGCAAAGAAGGAAUUUCAACGAUGAUAACAAUCAUAUAUUUUUUUGGCAAUGAUUUCCUCCGAAACUGAAAAAGUGUUUAAACGAAUUUAAAGAGAUAAAUCUAACGAACUAGAGCGAAAAAAGGGCAAGAAAUUACGACCAUGGGCUCUCUGCCAAAUUUACACGAAUUGUCAAAGGAUAAACUCGAAAGUCCUGCUUAUAGACCGGCUCCGAUCGGUGGUUUAGGACCCAUACGACUGCCAGCUCAGCCUCCGCCGUUAGCACAUACUCAUAGACGCGCUAGAAGCAGUGGUCAUCAUCAUACCUUGUGGGACAAUGAUGCUAUGCUCGAGCAUAUGGCAGCAUAUUCCCCGAUUUCCUGCCGAUCAACACGAACGUCGGCAUUGUCAUGGCGUCGACGAGACUCGAUGAACUCAUCUGCAGGAGCAUCAUCUGUUCGACGGCUGAUCGCUGCGGUGAGGACAGCUCCUUCCGGUCCAAGACCUCCGAAAAAAGUGAUUUUGAGGCAUUGUGCUGCUCUUCUCUUUGGACACGCGAGCUGUUCAGCUGCUAUGCUGCCCAUGUUCCCGUUACAAGCUGGCCUCGGUACUUUCAAUCUUCAUCUCGGACCGAUGUUGCUCGCUCUUCUUUAUGCAACUGCGACGAUUACUAGUUGCUUUGCGCCAAUUCUCGUGCAAAGAUUUGGAACUAAUCUUGCAAUAAGCACUAGUCAUAUGGCCACCACCGUUUUCGUUGGAUUACAUUUAUAUCCAAAAUGGUACAUACUAUUACCUAGUUAUGCAAUGUUAGGCGCUUGUAUAAGUCCAAGUUUCAUAGCAAGAGUUUCACACAUAAACACUUCAGCGACAAGUUUAGCUUUGGUAUGUGUCGAUCCCGAGGAUCCUGAUGAAACAAGACGCGAGUGCCUUCUGAGAAGACUUAAUCGAGCAAUUAAAUUAGCAGAAGACAUGGGUCUCGCACUGGGUUGUUUAAUCGCUGCCGUACUUGUAAAACUAAUAGAUUCAAAACCUCUCAAUACAAUAAGCAGUGAAAUAAACGACAUGUGCGGAGCAGAAUAUUGUCCGGAGGAAAUUUAUCUUUAUAAUGGCACAACUAAUUUAUCGACAUUAUCAUCUGGUACAUCAAAAAUAUUGGUCAGCAUAUGGUUAGGUCUUGCUGUUCUAGGCUUAAGUAUAUCGUGCGCUUUUCUCGACUCCAGAAUGAAAGAACCGCAGAGUGUAAAUGAAAAGCAUAGUAUACAAAAUAUUCUCGCGUCUGUGAAAGCUGCAUUUCUGGAUCCUAAGUUACAGCUGGCUGCACCAUUAACACUUUUUAUCGGACUUGAACAGGGUUUUAUCUAUGCCGAUUUUAUAGAAGCAUAUGUAGUUUGUGCUUUGGGAGGAGCUAGCACUGUAACUAUCAGUUUUUUAGCUUUAGCUUCUUUACAAGCUCUCGCUGGUGUCACUUUAUCAAUGUUAUUAAGGCACAUUAAAAGAUAUUUCGUUGUAGUUGUAGGAUUUGUAUUUCACGCAUGUUUAUUGUUGGUUUUAACUACCUGGAGACCAUCCGGAGAUGAUCCAGCACUUUUUCACGUUAUAUCUGCUGCCUGGGGAGUUUGUAACUCCAUUUGGGAGACUUUAAUAUACACAUUAGUAUUAGGUUUAUAUCCAAAUUCUUGGCAAGGACCUUUAUCAACGUCUCUCUUUUGGAAAUAUCUUGGUCUCGCCCUCACUCUUGGCUUACAUGGAUUGGUCUGUACACGAUUUCGAGUACUUGGUCUUUCCGGUGUGCUACUUCUUUCAGUGCUUCCUUAUGGAUGGUUAGAAAUUAGAUUGGCAAAAAGAGGAAAAAGCUUGGCACCAUUGUGACUGGGAGAUCCAUCUACAAAUGAUCAUAGAUCAAGUAUCAAAACAGAAGCUCGUUAUAAAGAUUGAGAUAAGUUCGUUCCAUUCGGCUUAAGAAGGACAAGAAGACAUAAUAGAAGCAGAAAUCCUUUCAUGGAACAUGCUUCAAAUAUUGCAAAGUUACGCACACGAAGAAGAGCAAACAGUGUUGCUUUUGCUUGUAAUAUUGAACAAAAUAUAACAGCAAAAGAUAUUGAACCGCAACCUUCUUCAUCUGCAAAUGAUCAUCGAAUUUUAAGAUAAAAAAGUUGUAAACUAAAGAACUUUAAAUACAAAUUAACACAUGUUAUCUUGAAUAAUUGUUAUAAAAUGAAACAUCAACACAACGUUUGAUGAUAAUUUAUAUAGCGCAGACAGAUAUUUAUAUGAAAUAUUUCCCAAUUGAUAAAACCAAUGGGAAAUACAAAUAGCCGGACUAUUUGUAAAUUUUUCAUGAAAAAUUUUCAAAUGCAAAGUCACUCUUCUUGUUGCCAUAAUUUCCAAUAUGUAUGACUGAUAAUAAUUUGUAUUAAUAUGAUAAAAUGCAUUCAAACAAAACAUAACCAGCAUAAAAAUUAAUUCAUAUAAUAUCAUGUUUGUAUGUAUAUCGAUAUAUUUUGCAAUCUGAUAAUAAACUAUAUACUUAUAAGAUUCAUAUAUAAGCAGCGAUAUAAAAAAAAGAAACUUUGAAAAGUUUUGAUGGAAAAUGCAAGAAGAAAAGAAUAUUGUUGAUUGUUACACAAACUAGGACAAGAAACAGCACUUUCAAAAUGAAGUAUCUAAUAUCAAAAUUUUCAGCAAUAAACUUGCUCAUUUUGAUUUCGAUGUAAGAAAAGAUAUUUCUAAAUAUUUGACCUGAAUUUAUAAAUUUAAUUAUGGUCAAUUCUAUUUUAAAAAAAGAAAUAAAUGGAAGUAAAAUGUUCGUGUCCUAGUAUAUAAAAGCAUGGAUUUAUAAAUGAUAUUGAAAAGGCAUAAAUUAAUUGUAUUUCAUGAAAUAAUAAAUAUUAUCUUAUUUUA